rnacentral:rRNA from 1 species
AACGCGAAGAACCUUACCUGGGCUCGAAAUGCUAUGGACCAGCUUAUGAAAGUAGGCCUUCCCGCAAGGGACCGUAGUAUAGGUGCUGCAUGGCUGUCGUCAGCUCGUGUCGUGAGAUGUUGGGUUAAGUCCCGCAACGAGCGCAACCCUUGUCCUGUGUUGCCAUACUGUAAAAAGUGGAACUCGCAGGAGACCGCCAGGGAUAACCUGGAGGAAGGUGGGGAUGACGUCAAGUCCUCAUGGCCUUUAUGUCCAGGGCUACACACGUGCUACAAUGGACGGUACAAAGGGCUGCCAACCCGCGAGGGGGAGCCAAUCCCAAAAAACCGUUCUCAGUUCGGAUUGCAGGCUGCAACUCGCCUGCAUGAAGCUGGAAUCGCUAGUAAUGGCGGAUCAGAACGCCGCCGUGAAUACGUUCCCGGGCCUUGUA